UAACAAGUCGUAACACCCCUCAAACCAAGACCUCUAGGGUGUAUAAACACGUCUUUCAUAUCUCUAUCUUAGGGUGAUAGAGAAAUAGUAACUCCA
rnacentral:ncRNA from 1 species